AUUGAACGCUGGCGGCAGGCCUAACACAUGCAAGUCGAGCGGAUGAGAAGAGCUUGCUCUUCGAUUCAGCGGCGGACGGGUGAGUAAUGCCUAGGAAUCUGCCUGAUAGUGGGGGACAACGUCUCGAAAGGGACGCUAAUACCGCAUACGUCCUACGGGAGAAAGCAGGGGACCUUCGGGCCUUGCGCUAUCAGAUGAGCCUAGGUCGGAUUAGCUUGUUGGUGAGGUAAUGGCGCACCAAGGCGACGAUCCGUAACUGGUCUGAGAGGAUGAUCAGUCACACUGGAACUGAGGAACGGUCCAGACUCCUACGGGAGGCAGCAGUGGGGAAUAUUGGACAAUGGGCGAGAGCCUGAUCCAGCCAUGCCGCGUGUGUGAAGAAGGUCUUCGGAUUGUAAAGCACUUUAAGUUGGGAGGAAGGGCAGUCAGCGAAUACCUGGUUGUUUUGACGUUACCGACAGAAUAAGCACCGGCCAACUCUGUGCCAGCAGCCGCCGUAAUAC
rnacentral:rRNA from 1 species